rnacentral:rRNA from 1 species
UACGUAGGGGGCGAGCGUUGUCCGGAUUUACUGGGCGUAAAGCGCGUGUAGGCGGUCCCUUAAGUCCGGGGUGAAAGGCGGAGGCUCAACCUCCGAGCUGCGCCGGAAACUGGGGGUCUUGAAUGUCGGAGAGGGGCGUGGAAUUCCUGGUGUAGCGGUGAAAUGCGUAGAGAUCAGGAGGAACACCGGUGGCGAAGGCGGCGCCCUGGCCGAACAUUGACGCUGAGACGCGAAAGCGCGGGGAGCGAACGGGAUUAGAAACCCCCGUAGUCC